CGGAGCGUAGCGCAGUCUGGUAGCGCACCUGCCUUGGGAGCAGGGGGCCGGAGGUUCGAAUCCUCUCGCUCCGA
rnacentral:tRNA from 1 species